CCUCCCCCCCGAUUCUACGCCUCCUUCCCCUCCCCUCAUCUGCUCUCUCUCUCUCUCUCUCUCUCUCUCUCUCUCAACCCUAGCUACGAAACCGUAGCCGCCGCCGCUGUGAUGGUCUCAACCCCCCUCUGUCUGUUCUCUCUCUCUCUCUCUCUCUCUCUCUCUCUCUCUCUCUCCAUCUUAGAGCAUUUUCUGGGCAAGAACAUGACAGGUUGGUUCCGCGGUGGUUCUGUUGUGCCGCUGUCGCUUGUCUUUCCUGCUUGUGUUUAGUCAUGGUGGGUGGUAGUUUAUAAAAGUGCAGGGAACUAAAGGCGUUUAUUGGAUCUUAAUCUGGUGUUGGUGUUUUGGUGACUGGUAUCUGAAAAUGAUGGGGGGCUUUAUUUGGGUUCUGUUGGUGUUUGUGUUUUGAGGUAUUGGUGUCUGAAUCAGAAGGGUUUCUUUGCUUUUUUGUUUCUUAUAGGCAGAAGGGGUUUGUUUUGGCUGUUGUUACUUGUUUUAGUGUGGGUAUUUUGUGGUGGUGUUGGUGAAAAGUAGGAGUGAGAUAUAUAUGGGGAGAUCACCCUGCUGUGACAAAAGGGGUCUGAAAAAGGGGCCAUGGACUCCCAAGGAGGAUGAGAUUUUGUUGAGUAUAUCAACAAGAAUGGUGGGCAUGGAAGCUGGAGGUCUCUCCGUAAUCUUGCAGCUGCUCCCACUACUUCUGUAGUGCCGUCUCUUGACAAAGUUGAUUUCUUAAAGCUUCAAAAUGGCAGGUAUAGAAUAGGCCACCAUUGCAUGUUCUCAGAUUUUAAAAUAUUCUGUUCUCUGGGAUACAUAAGAGUUGCUGUAGCGUUGAUUAACAUAUAUCUAUUUUCUCCUGUUUUAAUCUUACGAGAAUUGUGAAUCACCAAUGGAUUUAUGAUUUUCAAUUGCUCCUUGCAUUGAUUUGAAGUUAAUACUUGCCAAUCAUAGUUUUAAGGAGAAGUGAUGUCUUGAUCUAAUUUACAAAUGUGCUGGUGAAAUGUUUUGUUUCAACACUGUAUUCCCCACAGGAAUAACUUUCAGUUUGACAUCUACAGUUAUCGACUGAUCGGGACAUGCAGUAGGUUCCAGACAAUGAGAGAGUGGUGUAAAAUAAAAACAUGAGUAGAACUUUCCAUAAAGUUUCCAUGAACCCUUGAGAGUUUUAUGUAGAGCUCUGCUUACGUAAUGUGAAAUGAUGAAAAUAUAUGGUCAACUUAAUGCCGCUAUCACCUCCUCAAGCAUACAAAACCUUCAACGGUCAACUUUCAAAUCUAUGGCUUGUGAUUAUAUUUAACCGGUAGCAGUAACAGCUUUCUGCUGGUCUUUUGGACCAAAAUAUUGCCCAUGUUAAUUUCAUUUUCUCUGACCUGUUUUACAGAUGGUGCCUUAACCUCUAUUUCCUAACAAGCAUAUGAUUGGUGUCACUUAUGGAUGAUGUUGAAUGUACACAGUGAUAUAAGGUGUUUCGUUUCUUUUUUUUUUUUGUGUUGAUCCUCUUGUUGGCAGAUGCUUUAGGAUCUGCUAAGAUCAAUGCUUUAGGAUCUGUCAUUUGUUGUUGUUGCCCGCAGUUUGAGUUCGAGGCUGAGGCAGGGAAAGACUUGAGGAUCUCCGAAGCCUUGUGAACUGCACAACCUGCUUUCAUAUACGUGUAUAUAUAGUUGUAAAUUCAGAACAUGAUGACCAUUAUUGACAUUAACAAAUAUUAUUGCAUACUGCUCCUUCCUAUAUGUACUGCUGGUAAAAUUGUGCAGUGAUGAUGACAUAUGCGAUAACUCUCUUCAAUACAAGAGCAUGUUAGAGGAUUGGAUGGACUGCAAAAGAAAGAAGCCAACUUUUUUUUAUUUCACUCAUAAAUUAUGCUUGUUCAGCCAACCAUAUCUUAGUCUACCCAUGGAUUUACUCAAGUUUUUGUUUUUUGCAGGAUCUCUUUCGGUCCAAUCACUUGAAGUUGCUAUUUGGUGUGGAGAUUAAAUAAUUGAUGGAAAUGCAUCUGAUUUUGUAAUUUAUAUAUUGUAAUUUAUAUAUUGUAAUUUUGUAUUUUGUAAUGUAUAUAUAGCAAAUAAUGGAAUAUGUAGUGGAUUGCAUUAUGAUGCAUGCAUAGAUGAAUAUUGGUGUUUUUUUUUUAGAUGCAUCUAGUAUUUUUAGAACACAAAUAUUAUGCUUUGACUAUGUUUUUGUAAGUAUUUUUUUUUCUCUCUGAAUUUGGUCAUCUU